GUCUUGUUCGCCUCUGCUAAAAGUCACAUAUACACAGCACCGGAAGCUGUUGGCAGUGUUUCUGUUGGUGUCUGCUGCGUGUGGGUGUAGAAGGCCAGGGGGUGGCUGGGCUCCUUCUCCCCCCACUCCGAGGGGGAAGGGGAGCUCUGCAGCCCUCCAACUCUGCCUAGGCCAGAGUUAGAGACAGCAUUGGAGUGAGUGAGUGUUUGUGAGGGACGUGACUCACAAACAACUGUGGGAGUGAGGCUCAGCAUUGAAGCAGAUCCAAGUGGACGGGCUGAUAAUGGAGCAGCUCGGCGCUAGGGAAAAGAAUCCCAGGCGAAAUUGGAGACAGGCCAAAGGGCUCGGGAGUUGCCCUACAGAGAUUUGACUGGGGGCAGCCGAAAACUGACUUGGAGGAAUGAAGAUUCCAAACGCCUAUUGUGAUAAGCUACACUACAGCAGCAGUGAACCGAGGUAUGAGACUGAGAGGGAGAGAUCACACAGCAGAAAUGACACAGGACCAAGGAGAAAGGACUCAGAGCUACCUUCUUGGACUUUUGAAAAUUGGGUCACUUAUGAAGAGUCUUAGAGACUCCGUCUCACCUUCCUGUCCUGCUGGAGAUGGUUCAAACAUAAAUCUCUCACCUUUCCUCCAUAUGAGAGGCUCAGCCACUGUGAUGCUGGUACAGGAGCUGGAGUGUGGUGUGAGUGGGCAGAAAGUGUCUGUUGUCUCUCUAACUGAAGCUGUUCCACUGAACAGAAAAACCUUCUCAAAUAAACAGAUCAACAAGACCUUGUAUCCUCUAGCAGUUUUUACAGUCACCUAGCAGAAAUCUGCAUACCAACCCUUCACCAACAUGCAUUUGCAUGCCUUUAUAUUGAAAAAUCAUUGGAAAAUAUAUUAAAAAAUCUGACCCUGUGAUCUUUGUUUCCACUUUUUAUUAAUUGGAUUGUGCAUAAGUGCUCUGUGUAGGAGGAACAUUUAUCAGAACUAUGAAGCUUUUCUUGCUGAAUGGAAAGAAGAAAACAUGUUCAAUAAGCUGGUGUAUGUGUCUCAUAAGCUAAGCUUCAAGUUGAUCUUAAGAUCCCACAAAGU